AAACGAUUAGUAUAAUUAAAACACUUGAUUUCGACUCAAAAGCACGUGGUUAAAGUCCACGAUCGUUUU
rnacentral:tRNA from 1 species